AUUGAACGCUGGCGGCAGGCUUAACACAUGCAAGUCGAGCGAGCGGCGGACGGGUGAGUAAUGUCUGGGAAACUGCCUGAUGGAGGGGGAUAACUACUGGAAACGGUCGCUAAUACCGCAUACCAUCAGAUGGGCCCAGAUGGGAUGAGCUAGUAGGUGGGGUAAUGGCUCAUCUAGGCGAAGAGCCCUAGCUGGUAUGAGAGGGUGAACAGCCACACUGGAACUGAUACACGGUCCAGACUCCUACGGGAGGCAGAAGUGGGGAAUAUUGCACAAGGGGCGCAAGCCUGAUGCAGCCAUGCCGCGUGUGUGAAGAGGGCCUUCGGGUUGUAAAGCACUUUCAGCGAGGAGGCGUUACUCGCAGAAGAAGCACCGGCUAACUCCGUGCCAGCAGCCGCGGUAAUAC
rnacentral:rRNA from 1 species